ACAGUUUGAAGAUGUUCAUGGUCGCACCAAAAUCUCCGUUACGGGAGCGGCAGUUUGGCUUUGCUCGAGCUAAACCGAAUUCACCCCGACGUCUGCGCAACUAGGGCUGGCGACGCAGCGGCUGUUGACAGAGGCCCCUUGGCAGCUGCCCCGAAAGCGAUGUUCAGUAAUGGGCAAUUGUCUUUUUUUAAAAACAGUCAUUUAUGUUAGGCAGCCGAAAGCGUCACUUGCUCUGCUAAAUGCAAGGAACAGAGUUAUGCUGAGAAUGUUUGAGCAGAUAAUAGCCAUAUUCAAAACUUCGGGCCAGAUGUCUUCAAAAUCAUACUAUAAGUCAAAUUAGUUAAAGCAUAAACAAACAUUUGUGACUGACGUAGCUACUUCAAGUAGGCUAAUGCCCCAGUCAGCGUUACUCACUUUGGAAAAGACUGAGAGGAAGCAGAAUCAAAAU